UGUGGCCAAGUUUUUAAGGGCGCACGGUGGAUGCCUUGGCACCAGGAACCGAUGAAGGACGUGGGAGGCCACGAUAGUCCCCGGGGAGUCGUCAACCAGGCUUUGAUCCGGGGGUUUCCGAAUGGGGAAACCCGGCAGUCGUCAUGGGCUGUCACCCGCUGCUGAACACAUAGGCAGUGUGGAGGGAACGAGGGGAAGUGAAACAUCUCAGUACCCUCAGGAAGAGAAAACAACCGUGAUUCCGGGAGUAGUGGCGAGCGAAACCGGAUGAGGCCAAACCGUAUGCGUGUGAGACCCGGCAGGGGUUGCGUGUACGGGGUUGUGGGAUCUCUCUUCUGCGGUCUGCCGGCCGUAGGGCGAGUUAUAAACCGUUGAUGUAGACGAAGGACAUGCGAAAGGUCCGGCGUAGAGGGUAAGACCCCCGUAGUCGAAAUGUCAGCGGCUUGCUUGAGAGACACCCAAGUAGCACGGGGCCCGAGAAAUCCCGUGUGAAUCUGGCGGGACCACCCGCUAAGCCUAAAUAUUCCCUGGUGACCGAUAGCGGAUAGUACCGUGAGGGAAUGGUGAAAAGUACCCCGGGAGGGGAGUGAAAUAGUACCUGAAACCGUGUGCCUACAAGCCGUGGGAGCGUCGGAAUGUGCUUGCACAUUCUCGUGACUGCGUGCCUUUUGAAGAAUGAGCCUGCGAGUUUGCGGUGUGUUGCGAGGUUAACCCGUGUGGGGAAGCCGUAGCGAAAGCGAGUCCGAACAGGGCGAUUCAGUAGCACGCUCAAGACCCGAAGCGGAGUGAUCUAGCCAUGGGCAGGUUGAAGCGGAGGUAAGACUUCGUGGAGGACCGAACCCACCAGGGUUGAAAACCUGGGGGAUGACCUGUGGUUAGGGGUGAAAGGCCAAUCAAACUCCGUGAUAGCUGGUUCUCCCCGAAAUGCAUUUAGGUGCAGCGUCGUGUGUUUCUUGCCGGAGGUAGAGCACUGGAUAGGCGAUGGGCCCUACCGGGUUACUGACCUUAGCCAAACUCCGAAUGCCGGUAAGUGAGAGCACGGCAGUGAGACUGUGGGGGAUAAGCUCCAUGGUCGAGAGGGAAACAGCCCAGAGCAUCGACUAAGGCCCCUAAGCGUACGCUAAGUGGGAAAGGAUGUGGAGUCGCACAGACAACCAGGAGGUUGGCUUAGAAGCAGCCACCCUUGAAAGAGUGCGUAAUAGCUCACUGGUCUAGUGAUUCCGCGCCGACAAUGUAGCGGGGCUCAAGCGUACCGCCGAAGUCGUGUCAUUGCAGCAAUAGCCCCAACGGGUGCUGUGAUGGGUAGGGGAGCGUCGUCUGCCGGGUGAAGCAGCACCGGAAGGUAGUUGUGGACGGUUGACGAGUGAGAAUGCAGGCAUGAGUAGCGAUACACACGUGAGAAACGUGUGCGCCGAUUGACUAAGGGUUCCUGGGUCAAGCUGAUCUGCCCAGGGUAAGUCGGGACCUAAGGCGAGGCCGACAGGCGUAGUCGAUGGAUAACCGGUUGAUAUUCCGGUACCCGCUGUGAAGCGUCAAACAUCGAGCAUCGUGAUGCUAAGGCCGUGAAGCCGCCCUGAUCUCUUCGGAGUUGAGGGGAGUGGUGGAGCCGCUGAACCAAGCGGUUAGUAGGUGAGUGAUGGGGUGACGCAGGAAGGUAGUCCAUCCCGGGCGGUGGUUGUCCCGGGGUAAGGGUGUA
rnacentral:rRNA from 1 species